GACGAACGCUGGCGGCGUGCUUAACACAUGCAAGUCGAGCGAUGAAGCACCUUCGGGUGUGGAUUAGCGGCGAACGGGUGAGGAACACGUGAGGAAUCUGCCUUUCACUUCGGGAUAACUCCGGGAAACCGGGGCUAAUACCGGGUACUUUCAACUGGCGGCAUCGCCGGUUGAAGAAAGUUUUUCGGUGAAAGAUGACCUCGCGGCCUAUCAGAUUGUUGGUGAGGUAAUGGCUCACCAAGGCGACGACGGGUAGCCGGCCUGAGAGGACGGCCGGCCACACUGGGACUGAGACACGGCCCAGACUCCUACGGGAGGCAGCAGUGGGGAAUAUUGGGCAAUGGAGGAAACUCUGACCCAGCGACGCCGCGUGAGGGAUGAAGGCCUUCGGGUUGUAAACCUCUUUCAGCAGGGAAUAAGCGAAAGUGAAGGUACCUGCAGAAGAAGCACCGGCUAACUAUGUGCCAGCCGCCGCAGUAA
rnacentral:rRNA from 1 species